CCAAAUACUCUGUUCAACUUUUCGGUUAUUACAAUGGCGAAUUUCCAAAUGUUUCUUGCCGAUUCGAGAGGACAAUAGCAUCCAUUUCAAUAGCAACUAGCUAUCCUCUUGGCUCGAUGCCAGGAUUAGUUAAUCGUUAUCAAAGGGUUGAACGUGGUUCUGAUGUCAGUUUGCACGGAUUAUCGUCUACGGAGGCAGGAACAACCAGAAAAGGCAAAGAAAAUUGAAGGAGGAACAGCUUCCUCGCCAUAGAUGUGAGUGAUGAUGAGUACGAUGAGUAUGGUGUAUACCAGACUGAUAUUGAUACGAGCUGCUCUCCUCAAGGUAAUCAAUAUUAUGGCCCAAUGGAAUAUUAGGAGACGAGCAUAGGUGAUGGCCCCUGUAAGCAUCUUAGUGGGGAAACCCAAGAUUGCAUAUAUAUACAAGAAAGCUUUGUAUUUACCUCUUUUGGGAAGUUCGCUUUUUUCCAGGAAGGUAAAGACAAAAUAUUAUCUUCACACUCCCAUAGCUUCCAUAAACGAGAUUGGAGUAGCAGAAGCAAUAAAUAUAGUCACAUCAAUUGCUUUCUUGAUAGCUUUUGCU